rnacentral:rRNA from 1 species
CGCCUCUUGAUAAGAGGUCCAGCCUGCCCAGUGACGUUCAACGGCCGCGGUAUCCUAACCGUGCGAAGGUAGCGUAAUCACUUGUUUUCUAAAUAAAGACCAGUAUGAAAGGCAUCACGAGGGUUAAGCUGUCUCCUUUUUCUAAUCAGUGAAUCUAAUCUCCCCGUGAAGAAGCGAGGAUAAAACUAUAAGACGAGAAGACCCUGUGAAGCUUAAGACUUUAUAAUACCUGCAUUUUAAUUAUGCGUCUUUGGUUGGGGUGACCGCGGAGAAAAACUAACCCUCCGUAAUGAAAAGCAAUAAGUUACAACUUUAAGCAUCAAAAAACUGACAUGUUGACCCAAUAAAUUGAUUAAUGAACCAAGUUACCCCAGGGAUAACAGCACAAUCCGCUUUGAGAGCUCAUAUCGACAAGCGGGCUUAUGACCUCGAUGUUGGAUCGGGAUAUCCUAGUGGUGCAGCCGCUACUAAGGGUUCGUUUGUUCAACGAUUAAAACCCC